GCUGAAAAGACGUAAAGGCAGUCAGCCCAGUGGUGUUUCUGGAGAGGGAUUCCUUCAGAAAUGGAGAAGACAGAAAGCUGCGGAGGCAGAUAUAUGCAGCAGUAAGUCUGUGAUAGUUUGUCUCUUUUAUCAAACAUUCCUGCUGUUAUAAUUUGUACAGCAUUUGUUGUUUCUUAAACUGUUGCACUGUCCAAAUACCCACACUUGCCAUCUUUGCACUUGACCACUUGAUUACUUAUUUGAAGUCUUUCCUGUAUUUGGCCUAGUGUUCGAGUGAGCAUGAUGACCACGAGUGUGUGUCGAACUUUUCAUGACCUGAUGACUGUGUUUCCCAAUCCUGAUCCUGGAGAACCCCAGCACUGCACGGUUUUGGCGUCUCUCUUAUCUGCCUUGGAGUCUUCACUGAUGAGCUGAUGAGUUGAAUCAGGUCUAAAAUAUCGAGCUCAACAGCUAUUUUAAGAGCCAACCCUCACAAACCUUCCUAAAACCUAAAAGAGCUAUUACUGAGUCUCAGCGAAUCUUGCCAUGAUCAGCUCUUCCCAGAAGAGAAGGAAGACCAAGGAAAUGAUUUGCUCAGGAUGAGGAAUGAAGAUGGCCAUCUUGAGCUCAAACAAACAGAAGUCCUCUGGUAUGUGUGUGUUGAAGCAAUGUUAUACAACAUUUUAUGAUGAUCUCUCACAGAACUGGUCAUGUCAGCCUUGAUUUCGUUUUAUACUAUUACAAUUACAGCAUGUUAGCAAAGUGUGACUGGACAUUUUUAAUAUUAUGUUUUUAAAAACACACCACCUGUUUUAUUAGCAGACAAGUGUCAUG